CCCGACUGCUAUCGGAUUGGGAUUUAGCCAUGUUAGUUGUGCGUUCCUUGGCUACAGGGGACGCAGCAUACGGCUCAGUAACACGUAGUCAACCUGCCCUGGAGACGCGGACAAACCCGGGAAACUGGGGCCUAUCCGCGAUAGAUGACCUCAUCUGGAAGGAGAGGUCGUCCAAAAGGGUGCACGGGUAUGCUCUGUGCAAACCGCUCCAGGAUGGGACUGCGGCCGAUCAGGCUGUUGGCGGGGUAAUGGCCCACCAAACCUGUAACCGGUACGGGCUUUGAGAGAAGGAGCCCGGAGAUGGACACUGAGACAAGGGUCCAGGCCCUACGGGGCGCAUCAGGCGCGAAAACUUCGCAAUACGCGAAAGCGUGACGAGGCUAGUCCGAGCGCUUCCUGCUAAAGGGAGCCUUUCUCGGCUGUAAAUGUGUAACAGCGACGCCCCAGGCC
rnacentral:rRNA from 1 species